UCCAUACCCUUGACCUUUCACCUCAAAGACAACUCCAAGGUCCUUGGUAAGAAGAGAUGGAGUCAAGUCAUGUUCAUGAACUACGUCACAGAUAAUAAGUUUCUGAAUCACGAUGACGACAGCAGCUUCAUCCUGACGACAGAUGGAGACGUGAGUUUUAAGCCUGGCGCUGUGCGGGCUCUCAUUAAAAGACUGCAGGCUGACAAC